ACCACAUCCUGUUUCCGAGUGGCGGCGCUUCCUCUUCCUGCCUGUUUCCAAGGCCUCUUGACAUGUCCUUCCUCCAUUAAGCUCUGGCCCUGGUGCGGAACCUGUUGGCUGGAAAGGUCUGGUGUGAUGCCUCCGGGGAGCUAGGCCAUAGACAACCGUGACAGGGAAGAAGUCACCUGCCAAAGGUGCCUCUGAAAGGGAAAGGGCCCCGGCAACACCGCGGGGAAGGUGUUCUUUUCCGGGAAUCUGCCGCCCUGAGAGGACAGAUGGCAUUGAGCUUCCAGGAGGAGCCCCAGGAAACGGCUGGAGAGGAAAUGGCACCUGGCGAACUGCUGCAGAACUGGUCGUUCAACCUUUACCAGAACCUCAGUGACUAGAUGAAGUGAUCAUUCUUUCCAUACCCGUUUGUUACCAGGUGAUUGUCUUCAUUUAUUCUCAUCCUUAAUCAAGGACUAUGAUUUGGUAUUUUCAAAUUAAUUACUAAAAUUACAACAUCUUCCCCAUGAAUUAAAGUUACUUCUGCAUUCCUACCCAGACUUAUUAAAUAUUCUUAUUUACUAUAUACAGAAA